rnacentral:ribozyme from 1 species
AUUGAAAGACUCGAAUAAUUAAUAUCAGAUAAUGAAUAGUGUUAGUAAAAAGUUG